ensembl:rRNA 5S_rRNA 5S ribosomal RNA
GAAGGCAUCAACAAUACCCCAAACACAGCCAAUCUGAUUUUGGAAGCUAAGCAGGUCCAGGCCUGGUUAGUACUUGGAUGAGAGACCUCCAGGGAGCACCAAGGAUCUCCA